rnacentral:tRNA from 1 species
CUUUUAAAGGAUAGAAGUAAUCCGUUGGUCUUAGAAACCACUAACCCU